UAGAACUUGCGCUUACGCUUCCAUUUAUAGUGCAUUCAUGGUAUUAAUUUGAUCACUUUCAUGGGUUAACUGUGAAUCAUUUGUGAUAACUUUAGUCAGGUUAGAUGCAAUAUUUUAAUGUGGAUGAAAAUGAGACCGUUAAUGGACAGACUUAGUAUUUAAAAUGGCACACACUGUAAGGGCAGAGAUCCUGUAAUUUUUGCCAGCUCACAUUUUUCGGAAAGGCAUUUCAUCAGCUGAACAAUUGGUCUCUUUUUACACUAGAUCUGCACUUCGGCAUGCUUGCAUAAAUUCCUCUUGCUGCCAGAGCUCGCCUGGUUACCUGCCAUCUGUGGUGCUGAGUCUGCUGGUGUGGAUCUGUGCCACUUGCUCUCCGUAAGCCCUCUGACAAGCCCUGGACUUGUUCUCCCUUUGUGGACCAUUUCUGUUCUGCCAGCUGGAUUCACCCUCAGGAGCCAGUGCUUGACAGUCUGCUUUUGUUCUCUAAGUUUUCUACUGCUCUAAUAAACUGUCUGUUUUCCAGCCA